rnacentral:rRNA from 1 species
UACGUAGGGUGCUAGCGUUGUCCGGAUUUAUUGGGCGUAAAGGGUGCGUAGGCGGUUUGGUAAGUCUUAUGUGAAAUCUACAGGCUCAACUUGUAGUCUGCAUGAGAAACUGCCGGGCUUGAGUAUGGGAGAGGUGAGUGGAAUUCCUGGUGUAGCGGUGAAAUGCGUAGAUAUCAGGAGGAACACCUGUGGCGAAAGCGGCGCACUGGACCACAACUGACGCUGAGGCGCGAAAGCUAGGGGAGCAAACAGG